rnacentral:rRNA from 1 species
CAGUAGCCGCGGUAAUACGUAGGUGGCAAGCGUUGUCCGGAAUUAUUGGGCGUAAAGGGCUCGCAGGCGGUUUCUUAAGUCUGAUGUGAAAGCCCCCGGCUCAACCGGGGAGGGUCAUUGGAAACUGGGAAACUUGAGUGCAGAAGAGGAGAGUGGAAUUCCACGUGUAGCGGUGAACUGCGUAGAGAUGUGGAGGAACACCAGUGGCGAAGGCGACUCUCUGGUCUGUAACUGACGCUGAGGAGCGAAAGCGUGGGGAGCGAACAGGAUUAGAUACCCGAGUAGUCCCUGUCUCUUAUAC